CAAGGAGGCUGUGAUCAGCAGAUCUCGCGAGGUUCAGGAAAGCGCCCCGGGAACUGGGCCGCUGGGCCAGCCCCUGCGUCGGGGGGCAAGAUGGCAGCCCAGGCUUUGGCGCUGCUGAGAGAGGUAGCGAGGCUGGAAGCGCCGCUGGAGGAGCUACGCGCGCUUCACUCCGUGCUGCAGGCAGUGCCGCUCAACGAGCUUCGCCAGCAAGCGGCGGAGCUGCGCCUCGGCCCGCUCUUCUCCCUGCUUAACGAGAACCAUAGGGAAAAGACUACUUUGUGUGUAUCCAUUCUGGAGAGAUUGCUUCAAGCUAUGGAACCAGUUCACGUGGCCCGGAACCUCAGGGUUGACCUGCAGAGGGGACUAAUUCACCCUGAUGAUUCUGUAAAAAUCCUCACUCUUUCCCAGAUUGGAAGAAUUGUUGAAAAUUCUGAUGCUGUUACUGAGAUUCUAAAUAAUGCUGAAUUACUAAAACAAAUUGUUUAUUGCAUUGGUGGAGAGAAUCUAUCUGUAGCAAAAGCGGCUAUCAAAUCCCUGUCAAGAAUAUCACUAACCCAAGCUGGACUGGAGGCUUUAUUUGAAAGCAAUCUGCUGGAUGAUUUGAAAAGUGUAAUGAAAACAAAUGACAUUGUUCGAUACAGGGUGUAUGAGCUAAUUAUAGAGAUUUCUUCCGUGUCACCAGAAUCUUUAAACUACUGUACCACAAGUGGAUUGGUAACCCAGCUCCUGAGAGAGCUGACUGGUGAGGAUGUGUUGGUCAGAGCCACCUGUAUAGAAAUGGUGACAUCACUGGCAUAUACUCAUCAUGGACGACAGUAUCUUGCUCAAGAAGGAGUAAUUGACCAAAUUUCUAAUAUAAUUGUUGGGGCAGAUUCAGACCCUUUCUCUAGCUUCUAUCUGCCAGGAUUCGUGAAGUUUUUUGGAAACCUGGCUGUCAUGGAUAGUCCUCAACAGAUCUGUGAGCGUUAUCCUAUCUUUGUGGAAAAAGUCUUUGAAAUGAUAGAAAGUCAGGACCCCACUAUGAUUGGUGUAGCUGUAGACACAGUUGGAAUCUUGGGAUCCAAUGUUGAAGGAAAACAGGUUUUACAGAAAACAGGAACUCGCUUUGAACGCUUGCUUAUGAGAAUAGGACAUCAAUCAAAGAAUGCCCCAGUGGAGCUAAAAAUUAGAUGUUUGGAUGCAAUUUCAUCUCUUCUGUACUUACCACCUGAGCAGCAGACUGAUGACCUUCUGAGGAUGACAGAAUCCUGGUUUUCUUCUUUAUCUCGGGAUCCACUGGAGCUCUUCCGUGGCAUUAGCAGUCAGCCCUUCCCUGAACUACACUGUGCUGCCUUAAAAGUGUUUACGGGAAGGAAACACCUGCAUCUUGAAGAACUAGUAGGAGGCAAUCAAGUGAAGAAUACAGUGGAGGAGCAAAGCAAGACAGCAGGUACACAUGAAAAGAAGAGAACAUGUUUGAGAAACUACAAGUAAUUCAAUAUGACCAAUGCCUAGGAUUUAAAGGGAAAUUUUUGCAAAAUUCUUUAUCAUUAUUACUAAUAAUAGCUACCAUUUCUUAGCAUUGAUUUUAUGUUGUUAGGCACUUGGCAUGCAUUUUCUUACUUUAUCAUCAUAAUAGCCAUAAAAGUUAUGUAUCAUUUCACAGACAAAGGCACUAAACUGGGAAAUUAAGUACUUUGUACAGGUCGCAAAGCCAGAAUAUUAAUCUGAUUUUCUGAGGAUUAGUUGUACUCCCCUUUUGUCACUUGGUUAUAUUUUGAAGGUAAUAGUAGCUAACAGUUACUGAGUUUUUAAUGUGUCCCAAGCAUUUUCUAAGAGGUUUUCAUGUAUGAACUCAUGUGGCCAUCGUCACACUUCCAGGAGUUAUAUAACAAAACCAAGGCACAGCAAAAUUCAGGAACUUGCACGAGAUCACAUAGCAAAUAAGAGAAGUCAACAUUUCAACCUAGGCUGUUUAACAUAGAAUAUAUGUUCCUAAAUACUGCCUUUUCCUCUUAGUGAACAUUUACUAUGGACCAAAUCCAUUGACAAACACUUGACAUAUCUCAUGUAGACCAUCAACCACACAAAGAUUGAGUUUGUACAUAAACAGGGUCAGGAUGACUUAACAACAUAUCAAAAAAUCUGGUCUAAUAAGUAUCAUGGCAGGGACUUUCAAGGUAUAUAACUUUGGGAACACCUAAAAAUCUCAAGAGCCCCAAGAUGGGAACUACUGAUCUAAUCAUUACACAAGAGAAAUCAGAAAGUGUGUGUUGUGGGUUGAAUAAUGUUCCCCAAAAAUAUGUGUUCAAGUUCAGGUACCCCCAGUACCUGUGAACAUGAUCAUAUUCCUCAAUGGAGAGGAAGCCAGGUGCAGUGGUCACGCCUGUAAUCCCAGCACUUUGGGAGGCGGAGGCGGGUAUAUCACCUGAGGUCAGGAGUUCAAGACCAGCCUGGCCAGCAUGGUGAAACCCCAUCUCUACUAAACAUAGAAAAAUUAGCUGGGCAUGGUGGCACAUGCCUGUAGUCCCAGCUACUUAGGAGGCUGAGGCAGGAGAAUUGCUUGAACCCGGGAGGCAGAGUGGUACGAUCUUGGCUCACUGCAACUUCCGCCUCUGGGGUUCAAGCGAUUUUCGCAUCUCAGCCUCGUGACUAGCUGGGAUUACAGAUGUGCGCCACCAUGCCCGGCUAAUUUUUGUAUUUUUAGUAGAGACAGGGUUUUACCGCGUUGGCCAGGCUGGUCUCGAAUGCCCAACCUCAGGUGAUAUGCCUGCCUCAGCCUCCCAAAGUGCUGGGAUUACGGGCAUGAGCUACCGCGCCCGGCCAAGAAUAACAUUUUAUUACAAAAAUUCCCCUAUUUAAGGUUUUCCUUUUAAUUCUGAGCAUUCACCACCAUCACUGAGUCACUGCUGCCAUCACUGAGUCAUAAGAGUACCAUCGAAUGAUUUUUAAAAGUCCACUAAUUAUAAAGCAAAAUAAGACUUGGUUACAUUUUUCUUGGUUAUAGAUAUGUAAGCGCACACACACACACACACACACACUUUUUUUCCACAAUGUAUUCUGUGUAUAAGGGCCCUUUCUUCCCUUGGUCAGUCCCUGUCAUAUAAGUCUGAUGGGAGAAGGUCUACAGGGAGUAUCCCUGGCAGACUGACCAACUCAGGUGUAUGUAUGUAGGAUGAUUAGGUUAUCCUCAAACAGGUAUUGAACACUUGAAUCUACGUCACCAGAGCAAUAAGUUAGGCACAGAAGGUGGUUUGGACCUUUGGGAUGCACCUGUGGAUUUUAGGGCUCUGUCGUGGCUGGCAGAGUCAGAGGAUGAUGGGAGCCUUUUUCUCCAGUCGAAGGGUGGGAUCCUGCUGCCUGGUCACCCCAGUGUAGUGUAGGUGCCACAAGUGCUCAGGGCUAGGAUACCACUGCCCACCUAUAUCACACCAGGUACCAAGGGCAUCUGAGGGUAACAGAUGUGAGGAAUUGGGAGGCAGGGACAGAGAAGAGAGAAAUAUCUGGCUGAUUCUUGGUGGAGGGGGGUGGGAAAAGCAAAUGGGAGCUAAUAUUAUCAGGGUGUCUCUCAUUCAAGUUCUGUUAGUCUUCAACCUCCCUGAGCUUCAGAGAGCAGAAAAGAUGGCCACCAGUGAGGACAGUGGUGGUGUUCCUGCCAUGGCCCAACUAGGAGACACCCAUCUUCUGAAAAGGAAGCCCCCAAGCAGCAUGUGUAUCACAAAAUUCAUGAAUAAGCACAGCCAUGAAAGGCAGAUUGGAGCUGGGGAUGUAGAUGGCUUCCAGGUGGACGCAAGAGGAGGAAGAGUGACCAUAUGUUCAGGGACACCCAGAUGUUAGGAAGUCCAGGCCCCAUGUAGCACCAUUUCUGGAGCUGAGGGUUCAGUUGGAAUGUACACUAGUGAGAGCCUGCUGCCCACAAGUUGCUCAGCCCCUCCUGAGAACAUGCCCUGACAAAAUGACCAAUCUUGGUGUAUGUGUGUAGAAUGAUUAGAUUAUCCCCAAGCAAAUAUCAGAUACUUGAAUGUACUAAGAUUUCUGGAUAUAGUAUACUUUGUCCUCCUUCACAGGCAUCCCCAGAGGUUUGGAAAGUUUUAUAUAGGAUGCUUGAUUAGUCCUUUCUGAUAUUUGUAAACAUUUCCCAAUAAAGCUGCAUAUUCAUCUGUCCUUUAAUAAA